rnacentral:rRNA from 1 species
UAGGGAAUCUUCGGCAAUGGGGGCAACCCUGACCGAGCAACGCCGCGUGAGUGAAGAAGGUUUUCGGAUCGUAAAGCUCUGUUGUAAGAGAAGAACGUGUGUGAGAGUGGAAAGUUCACACAGUGACGGUAACUUACCAGAAAGGGACGGCUAACUACGUGCCAGCAGCCGCGGUAAUACGUAGGUCCCGAGCGUUGUCCGGAUUUAUUGGGCGUAAAGCGAGCGCAGGCGGUUUAAUAAGUCUGAAGUUAAAGGCAGUGGCUUAACCAUUGUUCGCUUUGGAAACUGUUGAACUUGAGUGCAGAAGGGGAGAGUGGAAUUCCAUGUGUAGCGGUGAAAUGCGUAGAUAUAUGGAGGAACACCGGUGGCGAGAGCGGCUCUCUGGUCUGUAACUGACGCUGAGGCUCGAAAGCGUGGGGAGCAAACAGG